rnacentral:rRNA from 1 species
CCUACGGGAGGCAGCAGUGGGGAAUAUUGGACAAUGGGGGGAACCCUGAUCCAGCCAUGCCGCGUGUGUGAAGAAGGCCCUCGGGUUGUAAAGCACUUUCAGUGAGGAAGAACGCCUGGUGGUUAAUACCCAUCAGGAAAGACAUCACUCACAGAAGAAGCACCGGCUAACUCCGUGCCAGCAGCCGCGGUAAUACGGAGGGUGCGAGCGUUAAUCGGAAUUACUGGGCGUAAAGCGCGCGUAGGUGGCUUGAUAAGCCGGUUGUGAAGCCCCGGGCUCAACCUGGGAACGGCAUCCGGAACUGUCAAGCUAGAGUGCAGGAGAGGAAGGUAGAAUUCCCGGUGUAGCGGUGAAAUGCGUAGAGAUCGGGAGGAAUACCAGUGGCGAAGGCGGCCUUCUGGACUGACACUGACACUGAGGUGCGAAAGCGUGGGUAGCAAACAGGAUUAGAUACCCGGGUAGUC